GUGCUCGCUUUGGCAGCAUAUAUAUUAAAAUUGUAACAAUACAGAGAAGAUUAGCAUGGCCCCUGCGCAAGUAUGACACGCAAAUUCGUGAAGCGUUCCAUAUUUUU